GAAUAUUUUUGUUGGAAUUGAUCAUGAUUUUUAUGAGAAAUUUUAGGAAAUAGAGGUUAAAAAUGUUCGAAUAGAUUAUUAAAAGAUGGAUAUUGUUAUUGAUAUUAAAUUGACACAUUUGUGGUCAAAAGUCUAGUAUUUUUGUAGUACUUAUUUUCACUCUAAGUUAUGGACUUUAUGUAAUGAAAAAUCUGUCAAGUAUGGUCUUGUAAAGGGUCUGGUAUGCUGUCAAAGAAGUAAGGUGCAGUAGGUAGAAGUUGU
rnacentral:lncRNA from 1 species